AACGAACGCUGGCGGCAUGCCUAACACAUGCAAGUCGAACGAGACCUUCGGGUCUAGUGGCGCACGGGUGCGUAACGCGUGGGAACCUGCCCUUAGGUUCGGAAUAACUCCCCGAAAGGGGUGCUAAUACCGGAUAAUGUCUUCGGACCAAAGAUUUAUCGCCUUUGGAUGGGCCCGCGUUGGAUUAGCUAGUUGGUAGGGUAAAAGCCUACCAAGGCGACGAUCCAUAGCUGGUCUGAGAGGAUGAUCAGCCACACUGGGACUGAGACACGGCCCAGACUCCUACGGGAGGCAGCAGUGGGGAAUAUUGGACAAUGGGCGAAAGCCUGAUCCAGCAAUGCCGCGUGAGUGAUGAAGGCCUUAGGGUUGUAAAGCUCUUUUACCCGGGAUGAUAAUGACAGUACCGGGAGAAUAAGCUCCGGCUAACUC
rnacentral:rRNA from 1 species